rnacentral:rRNA from 1 species
CCUACGGGCGGCAGCAGUGAGGAAUAUUGGGCAAUGGCCGGAAGGCUGAACCAGCCAUGCCGCGUGAAGGUCAGUGCCCUAUGGGCGUUAAAGUUCUGUUGUGCGGGAGCAAUAAUGGUCACGUGUGGCCAGACGAGAGUACCGUACGAAUAAGCAUCGGCUAAGUCCGUGCCAGCAGCCGCGGUAAUACGUAGGAUCCGAGCGGUAGCCGGAUUGAAUGGGUUUAAAGGGAGCGUAGAUGGGUUGUUAAGUCAGUUGUGAAAGUCUGCGGCUCAACCGUAAAAUUGCAAUUGAUACUGGCAGCCUUGAGUACAGUUGAGGUAGGCGGAAUUCGUGGUGUAGCGGUGAAAUGCUUAGAUAUUACGAAGAACUCCGAUUGCGAAGGCAGCUUACUAAACUGCCACUGACAUUGAUGCUCGAAAGUGUGGGUAUCAAACAGGAUUAGAUACCCCAGUAGUC